CCUACGGGAGGCAGCAGUGAGGAAUAUUGGACAAUGGGCGCAAGCCUGAUCCAGCCAUGCCGCGUGCAGGAAGACGGUCCUAUGGAUUGUAAACUGCUUUUGUACAGGAAGAAACACUCCCUCGUGAGGGAGCUUGACGGUACUGUAAGAAUAAGGAUCGGCUAACUCCGUGCCAGCAGCCGCGGUAAUACGGAGGAUCCAAGCGUUAUCCGGAAUCAUUGGGUUUAAAGGGUCCGUAGGCGGUUUAAUAAGUCAGUGGUGAAAUCUGGUCGCUCAACGAUCAAACGGCCAUUGAUACUGUUAGACUUGAAUUAUUAGGAAGUAACUAGAAUAUGUAGUGUAGCGGUGAAAUGCUUAGAUAUUACAUGGAAUACCAAUUGCGAAGGCAGGUUACUACUAAUGGAUUGACGCUGAUGGACGAAAGCGUGGGGAGCGAACAGGAUUAGAUACCCUGGUAGUCCACGCCGUAAACGAUGGAUACUAGCUGUUCGGAGCAAUCUGAGUGNGAGAGAAGAGAGUAGUAGUACCGACCGCGGAGGUACGUUCGUCGAGAAGAGUAAGUUACAAUAGAGUUAGAGGCGNGAGAGNGCGACGGACGACGACGAGGGAGGAGG
rnacentral:rRNA from 1 species